rnacentral:rRNA from 1 species
GACGAACGCUGGCGGCGUGCUUAACACAUGCAAGUCGAACGGAAAGGCGCUGCUUUUGUGGGGUGCUCGUGUGGCGAACGGGUGAGUAACACGUGAGUAACCUGCCCUUGACUUUGGGAUAACUUCAGGAAAAUGGGGCUAAUACCGGAUAGGAGCUCCUGCUGCAUGGUGGGGGUUGGAAAGUUUCGGCGGUUGGGGAUGGACUCGCGGCUUAUCAGCUUGUUGGUGGGGUAGUGGCUUACCAAGGCUUUGACGGGUAGCCGGCCUGAGAGGGUGACCGGCCACAUUGGGACUGAGGUGCGGACCAGACGGCUACGGGAGGCAGCAGGGGGGAAUAUUGCACAAUGGGCGGAAGCCGGAUGCAGCAACGCCGCGUGCGGGAUGACGGUCUUCGGGUUGGAAACCGCUUGCGCCUGUGACGAAGCGUGAGUGACGGUAACGGGUAAAGAAGCACCGGCUAACUACGUG